rnacentral:rRNA from 1 species
UACGUAGGUGGCAAGCGUUGUCCGGAUUUACUGGGCGUAAAGAGCGCGCAGGCGGUCGAUCAAGUCGCGUGUGAAAGCCCCCGGCUCAACUGGGGAGGGUCACGCGAUACUGAUCGACUCGAAGGCAGGAGAGGGUAGUGGAAUUCCCGGUGUAGUGGUGAAAUGCGUAGAUAUCGUAAGGAAGGCCGGUGGCGAAAGCGAGCCUCUGGACAGUUACUGACGCUGAUGCACGAAGGCCAGGGGAGCAAACGGG